AAGGAAGCUGCUGUUCAUGAGUGACUGCUCGGAUCAGUGUUCUGACUGGAAGAAAUUUGGCAAAGGCAAGGGGUCCUGAAAAAACUGACAGGAUGAAGCAACUGUCUUUAUAUUGGAGUAAAUUAAAUUGAGUGUAAAGAUGAAGAUACUCUCUAGGUCAGUAGGAUUUCUGGCAGAUGUGUCUUCUUUUACAAUAUCCUUGCUAAUCAAAGCUGGACGUCGGUGGAUGGAUUGACAUACCACUGAGUUCAUUUGUUGCUAUUCAGAAGAGGAGAUUUGUGCGACUGCAGCUAGUCCACAGCAGCUUCAGGCAUGAUUUGCAUAGUUGUGGAUCACCAUUGACUCACUUCCACCUGAAGUGGAUUUGUACUUUCUGUAUCCAGAGGGAAGGCAGGGAAAAUACUGUACCACAGUGAAUAACAGGUUGCACAGCAUUUAUUAAUAUGCAUGAA